rnacentral:tRNA from 1 species
GCCGCAAUAGCUCAGUUGGUAGAGCAACUGAUUCGUAAUCAGUAGGUCGUAGGUUCGAUUCCUAUUUGCGGCACCA